UACAGAGAGUACAAGCGUUACUCGGAAUCAUUGGGCGUAAAGCGCGCGUAGGUGGAUAUUUUAGUCGGAUGUGAAAGCCCUGGGCUUAACCUGGGAAUUGCACUCGAUACUGGAUAUCUAGAGUAUGGUAGAGGGAAGUGGAAUUUCCGGUGUAGCGGUGAAAUGCGUAGAUAUCGGAAAGAACACCAGUGGCGAAGGCGGCUUCCUGGACCAAUACUGACACUGAGGUGCGAAAGCGUGGGGAGCAAACAGG
rnacentral:misc_RNA from 1 species